rnacentral:rRNA from 1 species
GAUGAACGCUAGCGGCAGGCUUAAUACAUGCAAGUCGAGGGGUAGCAAGAUUGUAGCAAUACAAUUGUUGACGACCGGCAAACGGGUGCGGAACACGUACACAACCUUCCUACAAGUGGGGAAUAGCCCAGAGAAAUUUGGAUUAAUACCCCGUAACAUAACGAUGUGGCAUCACAUUGUUAUUAUAGAUUUUUCGCUUAUUGAUGGGUGUGCGGCUGAUUAGAUAGUUGGCGGGGUAACGGCCCACCAAGUCUACGAUCAGUAGCCGAUGUGAGAGCAUGAUCAGCCACACGGGAACUGAGACACGGGCCCGACUCCUACGGGAGGCAGCAGUAAGGAAUAUUGGACAAUGGACGCAAGUCUGAUCCAGCCAUGCCGCGUGAAGGAUUAAGGUCCUCUGGAUUGUAAACUUCUUUUAUAAGGGACGAAAAAAGGCUUUUCUAAGUCGUCUGACGGUACCUUAUGAAUAAGCACCGGCUAACUCCGUGCCAGCCGCCGCCGUAAUAC